AGACAGAUGGCAGGAAAAUGCAAUGAAAGCUCGAGCCAAUAGAAAGAGUGAGCUGGCUGGCCCUAGUACUGGAGCAACAAAACAUACCGCUGGAUCCCGAUCGAUCGUCGAGCAUGCCUUAGACUUGGAACAUGAUCUACAGCGACCUCCUACUUGUUGGGAGAUAUUUACCAAGACACACAAGUCAAAAGAUGGCAACUUUAUAGAUCGUCGAUCAUCGGCAUUAGACGAAGAAAUUGCUGCUAGGGUUACACAGGCGUCUCAGCCUAGUUUAGAGGGAGGUGAG